rnacentral:lncRNA from 13 species
UGGAAAAACAGUUUUCAAAAAUAUUACAAGUCGCUGUUUUAUUGCUGUGUCUUUCAGGCGUGAACUUCCUCAUAUGGUGUCUGCCUUUUGUGAUCCUUCUCAUGACAUCAUAGCAUCCACCCAGCACUUCGCAGAAAUCAGAGCCUGAGGCAGGAACCAAAUUGUUGACACUUUAUUUGCAAUGUGAGUACUCAAGUCAACAAAGGCGAAAAAGAGGGGAAACAACACAAGCCAAGAUGUGGUGCGUUGUCAUGCUGGGCUGGAUCAUCUCAAGCCGUGAAGAAACACAGCAAGGGCACAAAACCAGGUAUCUGCAGUGUGGGAUCU